UGGAAACCCUGGAAGCCGACAACGGUCUUCGAAACGGUCGCAAAAGGAGGGGGGCGAUGGCGGGGUUUUCUAGUCGCAGAGAGGAAGAAAGCGGCGCUGGAUUGAGUAGGGAGAGCGCGUGAAGGAUGCAGAUCUUCGUGAAGACCCUCACGGGAAAGACCAUAACCCUAGAGGUCGAGAGCAGCGACACGAUCGACAACGUCUAGGAGGGGAUUCCGCCGAAUCAGCAGAGGCUGAUCUUUGCAGGGAAGCAGCUCGAGGAAGGACGGACGAACGCUCGCCGACUGCAACAUCCAAAAAGAGUCGACGCUGCAUCUUGUGCUGAGGCUGAGGGGAGGAAUCCUCGAGCCUUCUCUUAUGGCUCUUGCCGGGAAGUACAACCAGGAAGAGAUGAGCUGCAGAAAGUGGAACGUGUUCUUGGAUCAUCUGUUGGCCAUCAGAAGUAAGAAUGACACAAGUGAUUCCAAAGUCCCGCAGUGUUUAUAGAAGACAUAGUCUCAUUCCAUAAAAUUGCUGAACAGGAUUUUCUUCAAAAGGUUUUAUUGGUCAAUUGUUGUACGGGUGAUAUGCACGGUAGCAUCCAAAGGUCUCUGUUUCAAGAUUUAACGUUGCAUGCACGUUUAGCCUAUAUGACACAGUUCGUCAGGAGACAAGAAACAAUCCGUGUGUGUGUGUGUGUGAAUUCUUUGGCAUCGUCGAGUCUUUUCCCGUGUGUCUGUGUGUGUACACAAUAUUGUUGACCCAAGAAACAAU